rnacentral:rRNA from 1 species
UACGUAGGGUCCGAGCGUUGUCCGGAAUUAUUGGGCGUAAAGGGCUCGUAGGCGGUCUGUUGCGUCGGGAGUGAAAAUUCACAGCUUAACUGUGAACUUGCUUCCGAUACGGGCAGACUAGAGUGCGGUAGGGGAGACUGGAAUUCCUGGUGUAGCGGUGAAAUGCGUAGAGAUCGGGGAGGAACACCAGUGGCGAAGGCGGCUACCUGGACCAGCACUGACACGUGAGGCACG